rnacentral:rRNA from 1 species
AACGAACGCUGGCGGCAUGCCUAACACAUGCAAGUCGAACGAGACCUUCGGGUCUAGUGGCGCACGGGUGCGUAACGCGUGGGAAUCUGCCCUUGGGUUCGGAAUAACAGUUAGAAAUGACUGCUAAUACCGGAUAAUGUCUUCGGACCAAAGAUUUAUCGCCCAGGGAUGAGCCCGCGUAGGAUUAGCUAGUUGGUGAGGUAAAGGCUCACCAAGGCGACGAUCCUUAGCUGGUCUGAGAGGAUGAUCAGCCACACUGGGACUGAGACACGGCCCAGACUCCUACGGGAGGCAGCAGUGGGGAAUAUUGGACAAUGGGCGAAAGCCUGAUCCAGCAAUGCCGCGUGAGUGAUGAAGGCCUUAGGGUUGUAAAGCUCUUUUACCCGGGAUGAUAAUGACAGUACCGGGAGAAUAAGCCCCGGCUAACUCCGUGCCAGCAGCCGCGGUAA